AAUGUAAUGGAAGAGUGGUAUUAAAACCUAUCUAGACUUAUCUUAUCAAGUGAAAUUUUAUGAAAUGUAGAGUAGGGAUGUCUGGUAGCUGGAACCCUUUAAACUCAAAAAUAGAAAUAUACUGUAGACACCACAACUUUACUUGGUCAGUGCCCAGGUCUCACUGGCAUGGAGCAUAGUGCUCUGCACACAGGUGCUAAACACUCGGCCGCGUGUCUUGUAUGACAGGUGACAUGAUGAGAGAACUGGUAGCAGUUCCCUGAUUUUUUUUCCCACGCAGUUUUUGCACACGUGGUGGUUGCAAGAUCACAUCCACCUGCUGUUGAAAGCAUGUCGCCUAGGUAGCAAAAGGAACCUACCACCCCCAGCUUGUCGGGUCCAACUGGAACUUCACUCUCUGGUCUGCCGUCAAGUGGGCGAGCAUUUCUUGCGCACCUGAAGUUAGGGUCGAUCAGCAGGCGCUUGUGCCCACUGCAUUUCUAGUGCACCCAGUGCAUUACAGAAUAUACUAUUGCUACCUACCCCUGUACGACAGACAGCGCAUGGGAAUUCGCCCAGAGUCCUGAAGUUGGUGAAGACCAAUACCACAGAUCAUGGUUCUUGGUUUUGCCUGCAUUCACUUUCAGUCCUUUCCUUUCCAUGCCAGGAACCUCUUGACACAGUGAGUCAGCAAUGAUAAGCAGGUCAUCUGCAUAUACUGUAGGUCCUCCCAGGGAACUCCAGCACAGAACUCGUGUGAAAGGGCUUCAAGCACGACGAUGAAGAGCAGAGGACUGAGUCCCGAACCCUGAUGGACUCCGAUCUUUACAGCAAAUUCUUCACUGUAGCCGUUACCAACAUGGAUACGGCUCCGAGCAUUCAACAAAGCAAGUGUUGUACGGACCUACUGCACAAUGACAAUUAAAGUCUAUUCUAUCAAAUACAGUGCUAUUCCCUCAUCCAGCAAUACAGGAGAUAUUAAGUACUGAUUUGAAUUUCUCUAACCAGUGUGUUCCUAAAAAAAUUAUCUGGAUAAUCAGUGCUGUGAUUCCCAAUUCAUUUCCCUGAAGACAUAUUCCAAACCUUUUGCUGGCGCAGUUUCGAAGUAAUUCCUACAGCACGUAACAGUUAUAUUGUCUGCGUUUUUGACGGCUCAUCACGGUGGCAUGGCAUGGUGCAGACAAAAAAGAAGGUGAUGAUCCACUUGCGAGUCUGAGAUAUCGGGAUCUCUGGACAAACAGAACCAACCACCCAAAGGGGAAACCACAAACGGAGACAAGGAGGGAGCCGUCAAAACAAACAGGAAAACGAGGAUUGGAAAGAAACCAUAAUGUAACACAGGGAGCAGGCAAAGGGAAACCAAACAUAUAUACUGCAGUGACAUAUAUGCAUAAGCAUGAGCACCACAACUAACUGAAGAACAGAGUACAGGCAAGCACUUAAAUAUUAACAGACAACCAGACUAACGAGGAGGCAGACUUAACCAAUUAGCAUGAUACGGGGAAACAGGCAACAGGUGGAGGAAUUUACAAUAAUGAGCACAGGAUUAGGAAAUUAUAACUGAAACUAAGAACAGUAAUCACACACUGGGUAUUACUACCCUAGGAAUAAUUAAUAUGCAACCAAAAUACAUACAGGAGCACAAGUAAACUAGACACAUGCAGGGCAAACCUAAGACCGGAAACCAAAACAAAACAGAACAGGAGGAAACAGGAAACUAAUAAAUACCGAUGGCCAGUAGUGAUGGGAAUUCCGGCUCUUUUAAGAGAACCGGCUCUUUCGGCUCCCAAGUGGCUCUUCAGAUUUUUUUGGUGCUUAAAUGAAUUUAUUACCAAACAUAAUGUAAAAUUGUUACUGAAAUGAAUUACUAUGGUUGGAAAUGACGUGUGAUCAUUUUAGCCAAUUCCUCAUCAAUUGUUUUCUGUCUUACUGGAGUCAUAGCUUUUUGCACAAACGGUCUCAUAGAGCUCUAGGUUGUAGGUCUAGGUGGUUGUGGUGCUGUACUGGAUGACGGUGUAGACAUUGACUGUCUCAUAGAGCUCUAGGUUGUAGGUCUAGGUGGUUGUGGUGCUGUACUGGAUGACGGUGUAGACAUUGACUGUCUCAUAGAGCUCUAGGUUGUAGGUCUAGGUGGUUGUGGUGCUGUACUGGAUGACGGUGUAGACAUUGACAAACUGGCACUUUCAACAGUUGCAGUAGAAAAACUGUCUCUUUCAUUAGUAGCAGGUUCAUUUGCUUGCCUUCUUUCUUCCCACUGCACUGAUGGAUGUACAGUUCUCAUGUGCCAAUGCAGGUUAUUUGUAGAGCCUGUUCGAUAUGAGAUUUUAACCCCUGCACGCUCUACACUCUGCCUUUGUAUUAUCAAUGUAAUUGACAUGUAUCCAAAUUUUACUCCGUUUCCUGCAGUCAUUCAUUUUGUCGCGCGCGUCUCCUUCCCUCCUGUUUCUCUGUCUGUGCUUGCGAUUGCUGUAUUUGUCUGUGAGCGCGUUCGACUUCACGCAGCAGUUUGCAGUGCUGGCUUAAAGCAAUACAUCAUGGUUAGAUGAUGCGCUGCAAAACGUCACCAUGUCACAUGGUACAAAAACCUCACGAGAGCAAGACGACUUAAGACUUAAUUAAAACGUUUCAAUGGAACCGUUUUCAGUUAAACCUUUUAAAGAUCUUAAGUGUUACAUGCAUUACAACAUGUUUAUUGGUUGCAUGGUUAUAGCAUUAAUGGUGACUGUUGCACCAAAAAAUAAAAAAAAAAGACGGUUAUAAGGGAGCUCAGUUUUUGCACGCAUUUGUAUCACUGUGUCAUGGGAGGGUGGUUAUGCUUUGGAACAUUGGGGAAAAGGCACCAAAGUCGCUGUUACCAACGAAACUCCCAAAGGACCAGACUUCCUUUAUGCUCUGCAGCCAUGUAAUCCCAGCGGCUCUGCAGGUCUUAUCAGCCUCGGCUGUGUUGCAGGCGGCUUCUCACCAGUGGAUUCUUUGAGCUUUAGCUGGAAGGGCAGCAGCGGUACCCAGCUGUCUGACAUCUAUCAGUACUCAGCGGUCAAUAACAAUGGAGUCAGCAUGGUGGUCAGUGAGAUCCGCGUCAAUGCGGCAGACUGGGGUGGUCAAGCUCAUUACCAAUGUACUGCACAACACCAAUCCAGUAAAAAGGAGCUAACUGGGAGAAUGGACAGGCUAGUUCCACCAACACCCCCAACCGUGAGUCUUGUGACUCUGCCCGGGGGGGAGAGCCGUGUAGAUGCGCUAAUGUGUGUCAUUCAGGACUUCCACCCCAGGAGCGUCAGUGUGACAUGGAAAGCUGGGGACAGCACUGUCUCAGGACAGACCUGGCAGCCGGAGAAAGGACAGACAGGACUGUACUCAGCCAGCAGUGUGCUGAAACUGGACAGCAGCGUCUGGGAGAGUAACACUGUGUACACAUGUGAGGUGCAGCACGGUGCUGAUAAAACCACUAAGUCCAUCAGUAAAGCCCUGUCCAGUAGGUCCUGUUUGGAUGUGACCCUGAAGCCCCCAAAAGUGAAAGAGAUGUUCACAAAUAACAGGGCUGUGCUGGAAUGCAUCAUCACAGGAGAGGAAGAGGCAGUAAAAGAAGCUGAAGUGACCUGGAUGUUGGACAGUGUACCGGUGACAGAGGAGAUUACACAGACCAGUACAGAAAAGGCAGGUCAUCUCUUCAGAAGGAGCAGCAUCCUGACUCGGGCAGUGAAGGACUGGGAAGGUGGCAAGACUGUGGAGUGCAGUGUGCAGAAGAAGGGUGGACCUACUAUCACUAAGAUCCUCAGAUUUGGGCAAAUACGUACGACGAGACCUACAGUCUCCAUUCAAACACCAUCUCCUGAAGACCUUAAUGGAAAAAGUGAAUUCUUCCUGGUCUGCCUGGUAACAGGCUUCUACCCUGAGGAAAUAUACAUCAUCUGGCAAGUAGAUGGGGGGCAGUAUGAGGAGGGUAUUACUGGAGAGCCACUGAAGACUGGGGAUAAAUACUCUGUCACCAGUCUGUUUAGGGUCUCAAAAGAGGACUGGGACAAAGGCAAGAUGUACAGCUGCAGUGCCAGACACGCAACUCAAAAGACAGACGAGACACCUGCAUCGAAUCCUGUGUCCAAAUUAACGGUCUCCCCCCCAGGAAAUGAGUUGGACCUACAUUGUGCACUCAGCUGUAAUGAGGGAAAUGAGGAAGAGGAUGAGUUCAGCAGCCUGUGGUCCACAGCCUCCUCCUUCAUCAUCCUCUUCCUCUUCAGCAUGGUCUACAGUGCUUUUCUCAGCCUUAACAAGGUCCCGCAAAGACGUAGCUACAGCGCAGCGCCAAAACACGCAUGGCGUAGAGAGCUGACAGCACCAGCCUGCCUGCUUACAGCUGUGGAGGAGAGGCGGGACUGAGCAGCGCCGCGUCUUAAGACAUGUUGAAGAACAAUGCAGGUUCUGUGCUCAGACGUGACCAGAUGGGUCGAGCAGAGCCAGCAGGACCUGCCCAGCUUUCGGCCUCAACACUGAUCUGUCGUUCCUGUUGUCGAUUAUUAAGAUAAACUUGGGAAAGUGUGUAUUAACGCCCACAUUCCACCCUCCGUGCCACCCUGUGCCAGCCCAUGUCAAAUUUUCACUAUUUAUGAAGCACAGAGCACAGAACAGAGCCUGUUGUUCACAGCAAUAAAUGAAAACUGAUAUAAUAACAUUGUUUUAUUCAGAAAAAAACAUUUUUUACUAUUUUGAAAGUUACUGUUGUAUUUUUCAGGCAAAGCAGUGAUGUUAACUUCAGGGGGAUAAAAGAAAAAACAAGAAAAAAUAUCAGUUAUUAUACUGAUUAGACUUUUCCUUUAUCUGGAUGCUUACGUAUCGAUAAUAAUGUUUGUUAGAUGUCUUCAGAAUGUGUAUAUUCUCUAUGUAGAUUAAUUAUAUGUUAUUAAGUUUGUUUUGUCUAUUAAUGGCUGAUUUUAUCUACAGCAGAUACAUGGAAUUCUCACCUUUGGGUUGUUCUGAUACAACAAUUAAUUAUUUGAAGUAUAAAACUUAUUCUAUUUGAGUUACUCUUUCUUUGGUUAAAUGCAUGAAAACAAUCAUAUGCAGUCAGUGUAAAUGUCUCAAUUAUAAACAUAGCGGAUAUCAGCUAAAAUGUAAGCAGCUGAAAUGUGUACUCACAUUUACGUUACUUAACAUUACACCAUAAUAUUUCCUUUUCUCUUCUACUGCAAUGUUAAUGUUACUAAUUUUUUAAAUCUCUGGAAUUCAAAUAAUUGUUUUUUUCAGUUGAAAUAUUUCUGUACUCAGUGUCUCUAUACAAAUUAAUCUACAAAUAAAUCAUUGUUGGUACAAACUGUCA